rnacentral:misc_RNA from 1 species
CCAAAGAUGGCGGGCCCCCGCGCCCCCGUCCCCAACCCAUUGUUGACCAAAACCCUUUUGCCUCGGGGGCAGAGCGUCCGCCGCCGCCCCCGGAGGACCACCGAACGCUGUCUCUUUGCGUCAGAGUAAUCGAUUAAAUGGAUGA